rnacentral:rRNA from 1 species
UACGUAGGUGGCAAGCGUUGUCCGGAAUUAUUGGGCGUAAAGCGCGCGCAGGCGGUCCUUUAAGUCUGAUGUGAAAGCCCACGGCUCAACCGUGGAGGGUCAUUGGAAACUGGGGGACUUGAGUACAGAAGAGAAGAGUGGAAUUCCACGUGUAGCGGUGAAAUGCGUAGAGGUGUGGAGGAACACCAGUGGCGAAGGCGACUCUUUGGUCUGUAACUGACGCUGAGGCGCGAAAGCGUGGGGAGCAAACAGG